rnacentral:tRNA from 1 species
UGGCUUAGUAGCUCAGUUGGUUAGAGCGCCGGCCUGUCACGCCGGAGGUCGUGGGUUCGAGCCCCAUCUGAGUCGU